rnacentral:lncRNA from 10 species
GUUGGAAAAUCCCACUUUACUUCAAGUGAAGUCACUGGGUUGUCCCCAUGAAAUAUCUCCACAAUGGGUGUGCUAGACCUUUACUCUCUGUGGCACCACCAAGACCCCCUCACCCUGCCAGAGCCCUCUGAAGUGUACUCAGAAUGGAGGGGCUGGAAGUGGGGCCAGUGGUCCUGGUAGUCAGCCUCCCCUUCUGACACAAGAAUUAUCGUGGAACAGCUUGUGUGACCGAUCAACUGGUCUCUCCAUCUUUAAGCCAUUGUCUUGUUGACUCUGUUACUGCAGAGUUUGGGGAGGUCUCAUGGCUUCUCGCAUCCUAUUUCCUGAGCUUCCCUGAAGCCAACUUCUGGCCACUGGUAUGUGAUGCGAGCACAGUGCCUCCUCCUGCUCCUCCAGGAAGCUUCUGCUGAUUGAACGCAGGCCAGAUGGCGAGAUCCGGAGCAACCUUCUUAGAUCAAGGGAAGAAAGGGGCACAAGAGGGGAGUAGGUAACAAGAUAAAAGGAGCUCCCUCCCUGAUGACUACAGAGCCAUCGUGGCAGCCCUGGGCCUCCAUUUCAGACGUUCAUCUUGCCUAAGCCACCACCAUCAGGGUCUCAGUCAGUCAUCAUUCUCAUUUACUCGGGUGGCUGGGUGAGGGCGGAAUACUACCUUCCAGCUGUCUGAGAUUAAGCCUAAGCCACCACCAUCAGGGUCUCAGUCAGUCAUCAUUCUCAUUUACUCGGGUGGCUGGGCGAGGGCGGAAUACUACCUUCCAGCUGUCUGAGAUUAAGCAGAACAGCAGCUAAAGCAGUAACAGCAGGUCUCCUUCAGCAGCUUGCCACAGGGAAGAGGGUCCCGCGUGAACCGAACUCAACUUCCACCUGCGCAGAGGUAGCUACCAUUUGCGUAGAGGUAGCUGGGUCUUUAAGGUUAGAGGGAAGGCGCAGGGAGGGAGAGACGGCGGGUGGGGGUUGAACAAAGUGGAGAUUCACAAAAGCAGACUAGGGCGGGCGACGUGAUCAGAUGACCUGUGCGGGCGGCAGCCUCCUGCCCUCCUCCCCUUCGUGCGCCGGCUGGAGCGAAGAGUUCUUUUGACAGCCGUGAGCUUCCCCGCCAGGAACUUACUGGGGCUGCAUCACCCUAGAAACGUGGCUUUGGGCUGUGGAAACGCUGCCUCUGUGGAAGUCUCUCCUCGCGGGGGUGGACGGGUCGCUGCGCGCCCAGCGUUCUUCUGCGGUUCUCACAGCCCGCCGCCGCCGCCGCCUCGGGGACCUUUGCGGGGAGGCCUCAGGUCAGCGCCGCCCUUGCGAUGGCGGGAGAGCAGAGCGGCCCCAGGGCCUCUGAGCUCCGGCCCCGGCACGUCCCGCCCUCUCCUCCGCUUGCGGGAGCCGGGGCGCCUCGGAGGGAAACCUUCCGGACACAGGCCGGGAGAAGAGGGGCCGUGGCGCCAUCGCGCAGCUUCCUGGUUUCGGCCAUGUUUUUUUUUUUUUGAGACGGAGUUUCGCUCUUUUUGCCCAGGCUGGAGGGCAAUGGCGCCGUCUCGGCUCCCUGCAGCCGCCGCCUCCCGGGUUGAAGGGACUCUCCGGCCUCAGGCCGCGGUGUUCUUGUAAAUUAGAACCGGCCUAUGCGCCAAGCGCGGGUCUCGCGGCUGCGGAGACUGGCUACGGGUACCCGGACCUGCCCAACGACCGUUCUCCAUUCCCGACCUCCGCACCCUACCCGGUCCGCAGGGCACCUUCCUCCUCUCUCUCAGGCACGUCCUCGACCUCAGUUGCCACGUGCACAUGCUGGUGCCUUCCAGGCUGGAGUAUAGUGGCAUGAUCAUAGAUCACUGCAGCCUCAAACUCCUGGGCUCAAGCGAUCCUCCCACCUCAGCCUCCAUAUAGCUGGUGGGGACCAAGUUUCUAACACAUGAAUGUUGGGAGACACAUUCAGACCAUCGCAGUGGCCUUAUAAAAAGAGACACAAGAGCUUGCUCUCUGCCAUGUGAGAAUACCACAAGAAGACUGUCCUCAGCAAAUCAGAAAGCGGGUGGACCCUCAUCAGACACCAGAUGUGCCUGCACCUUGAUCUUGGACUUGCCAGCCUUCAGAACAGUAAGAAAGAAAUGUGUGUUGUUUAAGCCACCCAGUCUAUGGUAACUUGCUAUAGCAGCCCACUAGGAGACCCCAAGAUAUUUAAAAACUCAUCAGCACCUGCUUUCUGCAUCUGGACCCUGAUCUUCUGGUGGGUUUACCAGUUACUUGUAGAGUGUCCCUGUGAUAGUUUUAGGUGUCAACUUGACAGGAUUGAGGGAUGCCUAGAUGGCUGGGGAAGCACUGUUUCUGAGAAGGACCAUGUUUUUGGAGGAGACUGUUUUAUGAGUGAAUUUCAGGGGACACAUUCAGAUCAUGGCAGUGGCAUUAUAAAGAGAGACACAAAAGCUUGCUCUCUCUCUCUGCCAUGUAAGACUACCACACAAAGACUGCCAUCUGCAAACCAGAAGCAGGUGGGCUUUCCUCAGACACCAGAUCUGCCUGCACCUUGAUCUUGGACUUGCCAGCCUUCAGAACUCUAAGAAAGAAAUGGUAGCAUGGCUUGGUCUAAGUUGGAAGGCCUGAGAAACAAGCACAUGGUGGAACUGAGUUCAAGGAUAAAGACUUGAGAAUACCUGCUCAGUGGACUGAGUAGGGAAGAUCAACCCUCAAUGUAGGCAGGCACUAUCCAAUCACCUGAGGGCCCAGAUGGAACAAAAAGGUGGAAGAAGGGUGAAUUCUCUCUUCCAGAGCUGUGACACCCUUCUCAUGCCCUUGUACCACACAACUCUAGGUCCUUUGGCCUUUGGACUCUGACACUUGCACCAGUGGCCCUCUGGGGCUCUCAAGCCUUUAGCCUUGAACUUAGUUACACCAUGUGCCUCCUUGUUUCUCAGGCCUUCCAACUUGGAUCAGGCCAUGCCACCGGCUUCUCUGAUUCUCCAGCUUGCAGAUGGUAUAUUGUGACCCUGGCAUUUAAUAACUAUGACUUUGGUCUUAAGCAAUUUUCUUCCUCUGUGGAUUGAUAUUUACAUAUCAAUGUGGAUAAUAAUUUCUUACCACGGUAACUGUUGUGAGGUAAAAAUGAGUUAACAUAAGUAAAACCGAGCACAUGCAAACCAUCCGAAAUGGUUAAUACUUACUAUUUGUACUUGAAGAAAUAAAUGUUUUUGACAAUAAACUUCUUGUGCAGUUUUCCUC